AUUGAACGCUGGCGGCAGGCCUAACACAUGCAAGUCGAGCGGAUGAAGGGAGCUUGCUCCUGGAUUCAGCGGCGGACGGGUGAGUAAUGCCUAGGAAUCUGCCUGGUAGUGGGGGAUAACGUCCGGAAACGGGCGCUAAUACCGCAUACGUCCUGAGGGAGAAAGUGGGGGAUCUUCGGACCUCACGCUAUCAGAUGAGCCUAGGUCGGAUUAGCUAGUUGGUGGGGUAAAGGCCUACCAAGGCGACGAUCCGUAACUGGUCCGAGAGGAUGAUCAGUCACACUGGAACUGAGACACGGUCCAGACUCCUACGGGAGGCAGCAGUGGGGAAUAUUGGACAAUGGGCGAAAGCCUGAUCCAGCCAUGCCGCGUGUGCGAAGAAGGUCUUCGGAUUGUAAAGCACUUUAAGUUGGGAGGAAGGGCAGUAAGUUAAUACCUUGCUGUUUUGACGUUACCAACAGAAUAAGCACCGGCUAACUUCGUG
rnacentral:rRNA from 1 species